rnacentral:rRNA from 1 species
GUGGGGAAUAUUGGACAAUGGGCGAAAGCCUGAUCCAGCCAUGCCGCGUGUGUGAAGAAGGUCUUCGGAUUGUAAAGCACUUUAAGUUGGGAGGAAGGGCAGUAAGUUAAUACCUUGCUGUUUUGACGUUACCGACAGAAUAAGCACCGGCUAACUUCGUGCCAGCAGCCGCGGUAAUACGAAGGGUGCAAGCGUUAAUCGGAAUUACUGGGCGUAAAGCGCGCGUAGGUGGUUAUGGAAGUUGGAGGUGAAAUCCCCGGGCUCAACCUGGGAACUGCCGCCAAAAAUGCAUGACAAAAGUACAGUAGAUAGUAGUGGAAUUUCCUGUGUAGCGGUGAAAUGCAUAGAUAUAGGAAGGAACACCAGUUGCGAAGGCGACUACCUGGACUGAUACUGACACUGAGGUGCGAAAGCGUGGGGAGCAAACAGGAUUAGAAACCCGUGUAGUCC